CCUACGGGAGGCAGCAGUGAGGAAUAUUGGUCAAUGGACGCAAGUCUGAACCAGCCACGUCGCGUGAAGGAAGACGGCCCUACGGGUUGUAAACUUCUUUUGUAAGGGAAUAAAGUGAGUCACGCGUGACUUUUUGCAUGUACCUUACGAAUAAGGAUCGGCUAACUCCGUGCCAGCAGCCGCGGUAAUACGGAGGAUCCGAGCGUUAUCCGGAUUUAUUGGGUUUAAAGGGUGCGCAGGCGGGAGAUUAAGUCGGCGGUGAAAUUUUGCAGCUCAACUGUAAAAGUGCCAUCGAUACUGGUUUUCUUGAGUGUGGAUGAAGUAGGCGGAAUUUGUGGUGUAGCGGUGAAAUGCAUAGAUAUCACGAGGAACACCGAUUGCGCAGGCAGCUUACUAAACCAUAACUGACGCUCAGGCACC
rnacentral:rRNA from 1 species